UAGUAAUGGCGAAUGAAGCGGGCAGAGCUCACGCCGGAAAUCCGGAGGCCUUUUAGAGUCGCCUCCUGAAUUGUAGUCUGGAGAGGUGCCAUCGGUCCCCCUCGGCGCCAAAAUCCCUUGGAACGGGGUAUCGGAGAAGGUGAGAAUCCUGUCAAGCGCCGGAGUGGGACCGUACGAUGUGCUCUCGUAGAGUCGGGCUGCUUGGGAGUGCAGCCUGAAGCGGGUGGUAAAUUCCAUCUAAAGCUAAAUACUGGCGGGAGACCGAUAGCGAACAAGUACCGUGAGGGAAAGAUGCAAAGAACUUUGAAAAGAGAGUUAAAGAGUGCUUGAAAUUGGCAGGAGGAAACCCGGUUGCGCGUGGCAUUUGGCGUGGUCGACUCAGCCGCGCGCGGAGAUCUGUAGGGGACCUAACGGCCUCGUGGUCAGCGCGUGCGGUGCACUUCGGCCGCGUCGGUCAGCCGCGUUUCUGCGCGGUCCAUACGGCCGUGGGCAGGGCUUCGGCGCCGCCUGCGGUUUGGGGGUCGCGCGGGAUCCCGGCUGAUGCGCACGGGCGCAACCGACCCGUCUAGAAACACGGACCAAGGAGUCUGACGCGUGUGCGAGUACUAGAGUGGCAAGCUCGAGUGCGCAAUGAAAGUGAAGGGCGUGCCCCGUCAACCGAUCUUGAUCUUCUGUGAAGGGUUUGAGUGGAGCACAUCUGUCGGGACCCGAAAGAUGGUGAACUAUGCCUGAGGAGGGUGAAGCCAGAGGAAACUCUGGUGGAGGCUCGUAGCGAUACUGACGUGCAAAUCGUUCGUCGAAC
rnacentral:rRNA from 1 species